rnacentral:rRNA from 1 species
UUCGGGACGCCGGCGAGUGGCGAACGGGUGAGUAACACGUGGAGACCUGCCCUGGGGUGGGGGAUAACAGCUAGAAAUGGCUGCUAAUACCGCAUACGCCUUACGAGGGAAAGAUUUAUUGCCCCAGGAGGGUUCCGCGUCGGAUUAGCUUGUUGGUGGGGUAACGGCCUACCAAGGCGACGAUCCGUAGCUGGUCUUAGAGGAUGAUCAGCCACACUGGGACUGAGACACGGCCCAGACUCCUACGGGAGGCAGCAGUGGGGAAUAUUGCGCAAUGGGGGAAACCCUGACGCAGCGAUGCCGCGUGGGUGAAUAAGGCCUUAGGGUUGUAAAGCCCUUUCAGUGGGAACGAUGAUGACGGUACCCACAGAAGAAGCCCCGGCUAACUCCGUGCCAGCGGCCGCGGUAAUACGGAGGGGGCGAGCGUUGU